rnacentral:rRNA from 1 species
UACGUAGGCAGCGAGCGUUUGUUCGGAGUUACUGGGCGUAAAGAGUGCGUAGGCGGUGCUCCAAGUCUGGUGUGAAAUCUCCCGGCUUAACCGGGAGGGUGCGCCGGAAACUGGGGUGCUGGAGUGUGGGAGAGGUAAGCGGAAUUCCCGGGUGUAGCGGUGAAAUGCGUAGAUAUCGGGAGGAACACCUGCGGUGUAGACGGCUCUGGACCAUAACUGACGCUGAGGCACGAAAGCGUGGGUAGCAAACAGG